GGUCAUGAGCGUCAGCCAUCCAAGGCCCUGGCCGGCUGACCGGCAACCCUCCGUCGCGGCGGGGUGCUCCAGGUGACGACCCGGCCGGACCGGGAAUCGGUCCGGCAAGUGCGAAAC
rnacentral:ncRNA from 2 species